AACGACUCUCGGCAACGGAUAUCUCGGCUCUCGCAUCGAUGAAGAACGUAGCGAAAUGCGAUACCUGGUGUGAAUUGCAGAAUCCCGCGAACCAUCGAGUCUUUGAACGCAAGUUGCGCCCGAGGCCAUCCGGUCGAGGGCUCGCCUGCCUGGGCGUCACGCCAU
rnacentral:rRNA from 3 species